AGCUAGUUGGUGGGGUAAAGGCCUACCAAGGCGACGAUCAGUAGCUGGUCUGAGAGGAUGAUCAGCCACACUGGGACUGAGACACGGCCCAGACUCCUACGGGAGGCAGCAGUGGGGAAUUUUCCGCAAUGGGCGAAAGCCUGACGGAGCAACGCCGCGUGAGGGAUGAAGGCCUCUGGGCUGUAAACCUCUUUUCUCAAGGAAGAAGAACUGACGGUACUUGAGGAAUAAGCCACGGCUAAUUCCGUGCCAGCAGCCGCGGUAAUACGGGAGUGGCAAGCGUUAUCCGGAAUUAUUGGGCGUAAAGCGUCCGCAGGCGGCCUUGUAAGUCUGUUGUUAAAGCGUGGAGCUCAACUCCAUUUAAGCAAUGGAAACUACAAGGCUGGAGUGUGGUAGGGGCAGAGGGAAUUCCCGGUGUAGCGGUGAAAUGCGUAGAUAUCGGGAAGAACACCAGUGGCGAAGGCGCUCUGCUGGGCCAUAACUGACGCUCAUGGACGAAAGCCAGGGGAGCGAAAGGGAUUAGAUACCCCUGUAGUCCUGGCCGUAAACGAUGAACACUAGGUGUCGGGGGAAUCGACCCCCUCGGUGUCGUAGCCAACGCGUUAAGUGUUCCGCCUGGGGAGUACGCACGCAAGUGUGAAACUCAAAGGAAUUGACGGGGGCCCGCACAAGCGGUGGAGUAUGUGUUUAAUUCGAUGCAACGCGAAGAACCUUACCAGGGUUUGACAUCCUGCGAAUCCCUUGGAAACGAGGGAGUGCCUUCGGGAGCGCAGUGACAGGUGGUGCAUGGCUGUCGUCAGCUCGUGUCGUGAGAUGUUGGGUUAAGUCCCGCAACGAGCGCAACCCACGUCUUUAGUUGCCAGCAUUCAGUUGGGCACUCUAGAGAGACCGCCGGUGAUAAACCGGAGGAAGGUGUGGAUGACGUCAAGUCAUCAUGCCCCUUACAUCCUGGGCUACACACGUACUACAAUGCUACGGACAAAGGGCAGCAAGCUCGCGAGAGUUAGCAAAUCCCAUAAACCGUGGCUCAGUUCAGAUCGUAGGCUGCAACUCGCCUACGUGAAGGAGGAAUCGCUAGUAAUCGCAGGUCAGCAUACUGCGGUGAAUACGUUCCCGGGCCUUGUACACACCGCCCGUCACACCAUGGAAGUUGGCCAUGCCCGAAGUCGUUACUCCAACCCUUGUGGAGGAGGACGCCGAAGGUGGGGCUGAUGACUGGGGUGAAGUCGUAACAAGGUAGCCGUACCGGAAGGUGCGGCUG
rnacentral:rRNA from 1 species